CCAAAGAGAUACAUACACUACUCAUGGGA
rnacentral:piRNA from 1 species